rnacentral:rRNA from 1 species
GACGAACGCUGGCGGCGUGCUUAACACAUGCAAGUCGAACGGAAAGGCCCUGCUUUUGUGGGGUGCUCGAGUGGCGAACGGGUGAGUAACACGUGAGUAACCUGCCCUUGACUUUGGGAUAACUUCAGGAAACUGGGGCUAAUACCGGAUAGGAGCUCCUGCUGCAUGGUGGGGGUUGGAAAGUUUCGGCGGUUGGGGAUGGACUCGCGGCUUAUCAGCUUGUUGGUGGGGUAGUGGCUUACCAAGGCUUUGACGGGUAGCCGGCCUGAGAGGGUGACCGGCCACAGUGGGACAGAGAGGCGGCGCGGGUGCCUGCGGGAGCCAGCAGUGGGGGCGAUUGCAGACUGCGCGGAAGCCGUAUGCAGCAACGCCGCGUGCGGGAUGGUGGCCUGCGGUGAGUAGACAGGAUGCGCCGGCGAAGAAGCGGGAGGGAGGGUAAUGAGUAAAGAGGCAACGGCUCACCACGUG